UCCAUCCAAGCCUCCUUGGCCCUGGAAGCCGGCGUGUCCAUGUUGCCCACGUUCUGGACUGCCUGGAGGUGACAGCAGGAAGGACCAGGUUCUGCUAGGUUUAACUGACGCUGCUGCACCGGAUACCCCACCCCGGUGCCGGGCACAUAGGUGCAGCCUGAGAGUAAGCAGACCCGGGUUGGAAGGUCCCGCGAUUCACCACCGACAGGAUGGGCGGCCUUGGCAACCCCCGACCCCUCGCAGGCCUGUUCCCUUAUCCAUGAGAUGGAGCUCGGACAAGGUGGCCACAGGAAGGCUUUGCAAACUGUGAAGUGCAGUGCCUACGUGGGCGUGCCAGUGGCCUCGCCGGAGCCGGUAGGGAACACUCUGCAGUCCAGGCCAGGGCCCCGGUAGGACACCCAGC
rnacentral:lncRNA from 10 species